rnacentral:rRNA from 1 species
UACGUAGGGCGCAAGCGUUGUCCGGAAUUAUUGGGCGUAAAGAGCUCGUAGGCGGUUUGUCGCGUCUGCUGUGAAAACUGGAGGCUCAACCUCCAGCCUGCAGUGGGUACGGGCAGACUAGAGUGCGGUAGGGGAGAUUGGAAUUCCUGGUGUAGCGGUGGAAUGCGCAGAUAUCAGGAGGAACAGCCGAUGGCGAAGGCAGAUCUCUGGGCCGUAACUGACGCUGGAGGAGCGAAAGCAUGGGAGCGAACAG